UGUUACAAUGGGGCCAAAGGGAAGAACAGUGAUCAUUGAACAGAGUUGGGGAUGUCCCAAAGUUAACAAAAGAUGGUGUGACUGUUGCAAAGUCAAUUGACUUAAAGGAUAAAUAUAAAAAUAUUGGAGCUAAACUUGUUCAAGAUGUUGCCAAUAACACAAAUGAAAAGGCUGGGGAUGGUAACACCACUGCUACUGUAUUGGCACGGUCUAUUGCCAAGGAAGGCUUGAGAAGAUUAGCAAAGGUGCUAAUCCAGUGGAAAUCAGGAGAGGUGUGCUGUUAGCUGUUGAUGCCGUAAUUGCUGAACUAAAGAAGCAGUCUAAACCUGUGACAACCCCUGAAGAAAUAGCUCAGGUUGGUAUGAUUUCUGCAAAUGGAGACAAAGAAAUUGACAACAUCAUUUCUGAUGCAAUGAAAAAGGUUGGAUGAAAGGGCGUAUCACAGUAAAGGAUGGAAAAACACUGAACGAUGAAUUAGAAAUUAUUGAAGGCAUGAAAUUUCUCCUUCCUUUAUUAACACAUCAAAAGGUCAGAAAUGUGAAUUCCAGGAUGCCUACUUUCUAGUGUCCAGUCAAUUGUACCUGCUCUUGAAAUUGCUAACGCUCACCGUAAGCCCUUGGACAUAAUUGCUGAAGAUGUUGAUGGCGAAGCUUUAAGUACACUCGUUUUGAAUAGGUUAAAAGUUGGUCUUCAAGUCGUAGCAGUCAAAGCUCCAGCUUUUGGUGAUAAUAGAAAGAACCAGCUUAAAGACAUGGCUAUUGCUACUGAUGGUGCAGUGUUUGGAGAAGAGGGGUUGACCUUAAAUCUCGAAGAUGUUCAGCCUCAUGACUUAGGAAAAGUUGGAGAGGUCAUUGUGACCAAAGACGAUGCCAUGCUCUUGAAAGGAAAAGGUGACAAGGCUCAAAUUGAAAAACGUAUUCAAGAAAUCAUUGAGCAAUUAGAUGUUACAACUAGUGAAUAUGAAAAGGAAAAACUGAAUGAACGUCUGGCAAAACUGUCAGAUGGAGUAGCUGUUCUGAAGGUUGGUGGGACAAGUGAUGUUGAAGUAAAAGAAAAGAAAGACAGAGUUACAGAUGCCCUUAAUGCUACAAGAGCUGCUGUUGAAGAAGGCAUUGUUCUGGGAGGGGGUUGUGCCCUGCUUCAGUGCAUUCUAGCCUUGGACUCAUUAACUGUAGCUAAUGAAGAUCAAAAAAUUGGUAUAGAAAUUAUUAAAAGAACACUCAAAAUUCCUGCAGUGAUCAUUGCUAAGAAUGCAGGUGUUGAAGGAUCUUUGGUAGUUGAGAAAAUUAUGCAACGUUCCUCAGAAGUUGGUUAUGAUGCUAUGAUUGGAGAUUUUGUGAACAUGGUAGAAAAAGGAACCAUUGAUCCAACAAAGGUUGUAAGAGCUGCUUUAUUGGCUGCUGCGGGGGUGGCCUCUCUGUUAACUACAGCAGAAGUUGUAGUCACAGAAAUUCCUAAAGAAGAGAAGGACCCUGGAAUGGGUGAAAUGGGUGGCAUGGGAGGUGGUAUGGAAGGUGGCAUGUUCUAAUUCCUAGAAUAGUGCUUUACCAUUAUUAAUGAACUGUGUCAGGAAGCUGAAGGCAGUGUUCCUCACCAAUAACUUCAGAGAAGUCAGUUGGAGAAAAUGAAGAAAAGGCUGGCUGAUGUUUAAGAAUAUCACUAUAACCAUCAGUUACUGGUUUCAGUUGACAAUAUAUAAUGGGUUACUGCUGUCAUUGUCCAUGCCUACAGAUAAUUUAUUUUGUAUUUUUGAAUAAAAAGACAUUUGUACAUUCCUGA